rnacentral:rRNA from 1 species
AACGAACGCUGGCGGCAGGCUUAACACAUGCAAGUCGAACGCACUCUUCGGAGUGAGUGGCAGACGGGUGAGUAACGCGUGGGAAUCUACCCAAAGGUUCGGGAUAACCCAGGGAAACUUGGGCUAAUACCGGAUGUGCCCGGCCUUGGAGACAGGGUUGGGGAAAGGUUUACUGCCUUUGGAUGAGCCCGCCGUCGGAUUAGCUAGUUGGUGGGGUAACGGCCCACCAAGGCGACGAUCCGUAGCUGGUCNGAGAGGAUGAUCAGCCACACUGGGACUGAGACACGGCCCAGACUCCUACGGGAGGCAGCAGUGGGGAAUAUUGGGCAAUGGGCGAGAGCCUGACCCAGCCAUGCCGCGUGC